GUUAAGAUGGCAGAGCAUGGUAAUUGCAAAAGAUCUAAGCCCUUUUCCUCAGAGGUUCAACUCCUCUUCUUAAC
rnacentral:tRNA from 1 species